rnacentral:lncRNA from 1 species
UUUUUUUUUUUUUUUUUUUUUUUUUUCUGCCUUCCCUCCACCCCACCCCCACAGAGUUAUCAGAUAAAAUCCAUGACACGCUAGUAACUUGGAGUUGCAGAUAAACAGUGAGUAACUAUUUAGUAUAAGAGUAUCUCAAAAAUUACCAAAAAUGCUUCCAGUUUAACUGGGCAUCUUGUGUUUGCGUUCGUGAAGCCCCACCCUCAAGGGACCCCCCCUGAGGAAGCGGAUACCUAAUUCCCUGCCUGUGGGCAGUUAAUUAGGGGCCUUUCACCUACUUGGAGGCUACCGAUUUUAUCACAUAUGAAAACUUCCAGUGUUAUCUUUAAGAGGAGAAAGAAAAGUGACUAUUUCUCCAUUCCACAGGGAGUUUUGGUUAUACCCAACAUGCCACUUUAGUAAGGAAACUGAGAAGAGAAAUCCAGGAUUAUUAGUUUGCUAUGAAGCCCCCCCCCCAAACUCUACUUAACUCCACAGUGUUGGGGUAUAAACGAAAGGUAGACAAGGAGGGCACAGAUGAUACCAAGGCAAUGUGAUCUGAAACUGUCAAAAGAAGAUUUUUUACAACCACAGGUUCCUUUGUUGGUUAGUUUUGCGUGGGGCUUUUUUUGUUUUGUUUUUUUACAGCACUGGUACUGUACUUUCAUUUUGAGAAAGCAACCUGCCCUGAGCCAGAGUGAGAGCUAGAUAAAUUGCUCCCAUCACAUCAGAUUUUUAAUGACUGAAACUCCCAGCCUGGAGAUUUUUGAAACUUUGAUGAGUAUAAACUGGAAAAAGUCACUUAAGUACUUCAAGUGAUUUUCUACCUUGAGGAAGUGAAAAUUUCAAUAAAUCCUUUCAUAGCAGAACCUUCAUUAGACCUCCCAGACAGGGAUCUUUAUUUACACAAACAUAAAGCCAGUGUUGACCCACUGCUGCUGCUACUUCCUCUUUUUUUCUUUUCAUGGCCCAAAAAAUGAAUAAAUAGCCUUUCUAUGAAGUUUUGCCAUUUGCAACAACAUAGAUGGGCUAGGAGGGUAUGAUGCUAACUGAGGUAAAUCAGAGAAAGACAAAUAUUGUAUGAUAUCAUUAACAUGAAGAAUCUAAAAAAAAUAAAAGAAACUAAUAAAUAUAACAAAAAGGAAAUAGAUUCACAGAUAUAGAGAAUAAAUUAGUGGCUACCAGUGGGGAGAGGAAAGAAGGGGAUCAAGACAGGGGUAGGGGAUUAAGAAGUACUAACCAUUAUGCAUAAAAUAAAUAAGAUCUAAGAAUAUGUACACACAGGGAAUAGAGCCAAUAUUUUAUAAUACUUAUAAAUGAGUAUAACCUUUAAAAACUGUGAAUCACUAUCCUGUGCACCUGAAAUUUACAUAAUAUUGUACAGCAGCUAUAUCUCAAUUAAAAAAAAAAGGGAAGGAAAAAAAAAAUAGCCUCUCUAAAGUCUCCCAAACAGUUCCAAAACUGACUGAGGGGUUGAGAAAUAGUCUUUUACCUGGGUAACUUACCACCCUCAAUAAAUAGGGGUGCUAUUAACAAGGAGUCAGGAGAGGAGUUCCUGUUGUGGCUUAGUGGUUAAUGAACCAAACUAGUAUCCCUGAGGACGUGGGUUUGAUCCUUGGCCUCGAUCAGUGGGAUCUGAUCAGGAUCAGGAUCAGGAUCAGGAUCUGGCGUUUCUGUGAGCUGUGGUGUAGGUCACAGACGUGGCUCGGACCUGGCAUUGCUGUGGCUGUGGUGUAGGCUGGCAGCUCUAGCUCCAAUUCGACCCCUAGCCUGGGAACCUCCAUAUGCCACAGAUGUGGCCCUAAAAAGACAAAAACUAGGGAUUUCUCAUCAUGGCUUAGCAGAAACCAAUCUGACUAGCAUCCAUGAGGACACAGGUUUGAUCUCUGGCCUCACACAGUAGGUCAAGGAUUCAGCUUUGCUGUGAGCUGUGGCGUAGUUUGCAGAUGCAACUCGAAUCUGGCGUUGCUGUGGCUGUGGCAUAGGCUGGCAGCUACAGCUCUGACUGGACCCCUAGCCUGAAAAUUUCCAUAUGCUGCGGAUGUGGCCCUAAAAAAAGACAAAAAAAAAAAAAAAGACAAAAAAGAAAAUAAAAUAAAGGAGGCAAGAGAAUAAAUAUUGGGAUGAAAGGGGACAGGGGCAAGAGCAGUUGCUGCCUCUCUGGCAAGCAGGCCUGAACGCUGAAAGACAGAGAAGCACAUUCUCUCUUGAAGUCACGUGACAGUUGGGCCUGAAUUCUUGGGUGGCAUGUUUGAACUGGGGUGAGUUGAUCCUCCUCAUAAUACAUAUAAAAAAGCAUCUUCUAGGGAAUCUUAGAAUUUGCUUGGGGACUUGGGAGCCCAGGGCUAAGUGCCUGAGACAUGGCAGCCACAGGCUCAGAGUCACUGGGGUCUUUUUUUUUUUAAUAUAUUUUAUUUCUUAGAGGAGUUUUAAGUUCACAGUCAAACCAUGAGAGUAAGGUAGAGAGGGAGCCCAUAUUACCCCCCACCCCCCACAUGCAGCACCUUCCCCAUGUGGGCAGAACAUUUGUUACAAUUAAUGACCCUUCAUUGACACAUCAUGGUCACCCAAAGUCCCUAGUUUAUAUUAGGGUUCACUCUCAGUGUUGUACAUUCUGUGAGUUUAGUCAAAUGUAUAACAUGUAUCCAUCAUUAUAGUAUCAUACAGAAUAGUUUCACUGCUCUAAAAAUCCUCUGUGCUCUUCCUGUUCCCUUUCCCUCCCCCAAAACCUGGCAAUCACUGAUCUUUCUACUGUCUCCAUAGUUUACCUUUCAUAGAAUGUCAUAUAGUUGGAGCCCUAUAGUAUGUAGCCUUUCUAGAUUAACUUCUUUCACUUAGUAAUAUGCAUUUAAGAUUUAAGUUUCCACCAUGCCUUUGCAUGGUUCAAUAGCUUUUUUUUUUUUUUUUUUUUUAGUGGUGAGUAAUAUUCUGCUGCUUUGGAGGCACCACUAGACUUCAUUUUACUGAUGUGGACUUUGGGAAUCAGUUCUUAUUGAUGCCUGAAGUUUAUGAUUCCACAAACUCUACCCCUCAGAAUAAAAUUGUGUGUCUACAUUAGAGCACAGAAGAGGAAUAAUUAAAUAGGUCGGAACAAACAUGGCAAUAAAUAAAUGAAAAAAAAAAGGAAAAGUCCAAAUCCCACAGCACCACAUACAGAUCUCCCUGAAUCUGGCCUGUGCUUGUUCUCCAACCUCAUCUUCUACCACCAUGCCUGCUGUCACGCCCAGCCAGGUCACCUCUCCAGGUCUAUCACAGCCUGAAUGCCUUCAACGUCUCUGCCUGGAAUUUCUGCCCGCUUUGCAUGUGCCAAGUGACUCCCAAAUCUUCCUUCAAGUCAUCCAUGUGACACCUUCUCUGGCAGAGCUGAGCACUCCCUUCCUCCUUCCAGCCACCUGUGCACUCUGGCAUGUUCUUGUCACACUGAACAUCAGUGGCAGUUGGGUACAAGCAGACCUCUCCCACUGACCAAUGAGCUCCCUGAGGCUAGGAAGCCCUUCCCGUGGAGCAAAACUGGAAGCUCAUGAGGCACAUAAUAAAUGCUUAAUUAAUGGUGGUUAAAAGAGUCAAUAAGCAUGUGUGCAUACAUUUUACUUGAUUUUUCUAUUUAGAGCAUCAGACUAUUGACUGCCAUUUUCAGUGGGAUCCGCUCUGCUCAAUUUAUUUGCUAAAAUACCUAAAGGAUUUAUUCUGCUUGAGACUUUAUGAAUACACACAAAAAGGACUCACUGGAAAUACCACCAUGGAGAAUAACUAAAAUUUAUACACGCAGCAAAAAGAAACAUUAGAAAUACCAUUUAAUUGGGAAUAAUUAAAUCUAUGAAAUGGGAUAAACUAUGUUUUGCUUCUGGAACAGUUAACUGAGGCAAACAUAAGAGAAGCAACAAAUAUUUAUAGUGUAUCCAGACAUUAACUUGUGACUGCUUCUCCCUCUGGAAUUAGAAAGGUUUUGAAAGAGGAAGGCUAAUGCCAUAGAAAAGAUGGGGUAAGCAAGGGUUUGGUAAGAAAGUUUGUUGUGUUUACACAAACCAAAACAGAUCCCAAAUCUCAGAAGUUUAACACAGGGAAAGUUUAUUUUCCACUCAGGCAGGUCUCCUUCAUGUGCUGUCUGCACCACCUCACACACACUGCCUCCAACACCACUGAUUGAUCCCAGGCCACUUCACUCUGCUCACCUCCCAUUCGUCAGCACCCUGUCACAUGACCCCUCUGCCUGCUGGGAAUUAAGGAGGAGGAACCCUGCUCUGCAGGGAAGGAGAUGCUGCAGAGAUCAGCAAGCAGGGCAUCCCCAACAGAGUGCUUUUGGAGUCCACAUCUGUGGAAGGGAUUGGACAGAUCAAGCCUCAGCAGUCACCUUGGGAGCCUGGGCUGACUCUGUGAGGGGUUCUGUAGACCAGAUAUCUUCAGGGCUGUCCUGAUUUGGGGCAAAAAGGGCUGGAUCUCUGUUCCCCUGCAUUGAUCAGCCACUGGCUCAGGCUGUUCUGGGAAGGGGUGUGACCCUGAGUAAGGCAGCUCAGCCAAGGCAAUUCCAGAGAAGACUGACUCCAAGGGCUGUGUGCCAGCAGCUGGAGAAUAAGUCCAGCUCGCAUCCCUGACAAGGGUCUAGGAGGCUCAUCAGAGCACGUGCACAGUGAGUCACACAGUCUUCCAAGCAGAGAGAUCACACUGGAAUCCUCUUUCAUCAUCCUGGCCUUAAACCUAUCACUGGCUUGACCUGUGAACCCCACCAGUUGUCUCUGCUAGCAAUUCCAAUAAGCUUGGGCAUAAAGCACAUUCUUUAUCCCUAACUACUCUGGCUGUUCCUGCUGGCUGAACCCCACCCUCCAAAAAAUGUUCUGAAAAAUUCCUGCUGCCCUUUAAACCAGAGAACAGCUUCUCAUCUGCUCUGGGUCUUUGCCAAGCUCACCAUGAAUAGGGGGUAUCUGUCUCUCUUUGAGCUGCCUCUGGCUACCGUGAGCCAGGACUCUUCCACAGUAAAUAGCCUUUUCCAGGCUGGACUUCUGUUUAGCAUUACCCAAUAUCUACUACUCCUGCAGUAAGAACCAGACUUGAUUUUUCUGUUUAACCAUUUCAUGCCCACUAUUCACUGGUUAUGCUGGAAACAGCAUGGCCCUGUUGAGAAACACCUGUGCAAAUUCAUCAUUUGUUUAGUGGGUCUCCUGUAGAGAGGAUGUGGAUCUGGACUCUAAUGUUCCAGAGGGCACUUCUUGGACUCCAUUUUUACAUGUUCUAAUCACAUUCUUUCUAUGGAGACAAUAAUGGCUGGCAUUUAUUACAAAGCACUUCACAUGUGAUAACUUACUAAAUUUUCACACCUAUCCUAUGCAGAGGUACUAAUAUUUUUCCUGACUUGCAUAUAAGAAAACCAAGGCACAGGCAGUUGAAGAUGCUUGCCUAAGGUCAUAUGAGGCAUAGAUGGUGGAAUUAGUAUGGAACCCCAGGUAGUCUAACUGUGAGGUUCAGGCUCUUAAUCACUAUAUUAUAUGGCCUAUCAGUGUCCAGGGAGUGGGCUCAUAAAUUAGCAAGGUGGAACCUCUCAUAAGAAUCAUUGAAUGUACUGAAGUCCAAUGUACUGACGUCCUUUCAUGGAAAGCCCAGUAAGAAAAGAAGCCCUAGCUUGGAACUCCCUUCACAAGCCAGAAAAAGUAAAUUAAAAAUGAGUAAAUUUAGGGAGAGGAAUUCCCCAUUAAAAAAAAACUGGACCUGGUAUUAAAUGACAAAUGUAUAGGCGUUGGUGUUUUAGCAUGGGACAACUUAUAAGUAGUUCUGUGGUAUGUAUUGUGGUACCAUGAAGCCAUAAGGUAGUAAAAUAUAUUUAGAUUUGGAAGAGAGAUAGCAACCAUGAUUUGUGGGUAUGUACAGUGGGGCAGAGAGGGGCAGGAAGAAUGAGCUGUCUUCUAUGACAUGGAGACUCGUGUCUGUCCCUGCGGGUGUACAGGGCCAUGAGGCUACAACCCCACCAUCCUCAUCCACCUCUGUCUUUGCAGGAAGCCUAACUACCUCCAAGUUAUAAGGUGGUGUUAUGUUAAAUCGUCUGGUGGGAGCUGGGCGACAACCUUACAAACCCGAUCUCAAUGCUGAACAAAUUGUUCCUUUGUCUUCAGGUGUGGCGAUGUGAUGGAAUCUGUCCACACCACAGCCCCUGGGAAAUGGGGCUGGACAGACAUUUGGUGCCAGGCUUCUUUGACAGGAAUGCUAACCUGUCAAGUCGGCUCCAGUGUCAGGAUACAAAUAGCCAUAAUGAGGCCAUCGACCAAGCUUAGCGAGUCCUGCCCGGUGAUGAAAUGUGCUUGCAAUAGGCAGGGUCUGGAGGUGAUUUGGGCCUGACAGCUCAGCCUCCAAACCACAUUUUCCAUGUGUCAGGAAAAUGAACACCAUGUCCAUUGCACAUGGUUUUAGCAAUUAGACCUUUAUUAAUACCGCAGAGCAGCUGGAACUAGAAAUAGUCUCAAGUGCUCACAUUUUUUCAACAUACAAAUUACCAUAGCAGCGGCAGCUGCUGAGGCCAGGUUUAUUCAUCUUGGGCCAAAAUUCUCAUACUCUUGACCCCAUGUUUUGGGCCUGGACUUUGUGACUCCAAGAAAAUAUGGCCGCAAAGCUCUACUCUGGGGAAUCAGACAUUCCUCCCUAAAGACCGUGUCUUCUCCCCCAGCCUUUCUGUUCUCUCCAUGGCCUAGUGGUUUGGGUUUUAGAAAGCAACUCUCCAGAGUUCAUGUUGUGGCUAAGAAGGUUAAGGACCCAACAUUUUCUCUGUGAGGACAUGGGUUCGAUCCCUGGCCUUGCUCACUCCGGUGUUGCCAUGAGCUGUGGUGCAGGUCUCAGAUGUGGCUUGGAUCCUGCCUUGCUGUGGCUGUGGUGUAGGCCUGCAGCUGCAGCUCCAAUUUGACCCUUAGCCUGGGAACUUCCAUAUGCUGUGGGUGUGGCCCU